GAUGAACGCUGGCGGCGUGCCUAAUACAUGCAAGUCGAGCGAACAGAUAAGGAGCUUGCUCCUUUGACGUUAGCGGCGGACGGGUGAGUAACACGUGGGUAACCUACCUAUAAGACUGGAAUAACUCCGGGAAACCGGGGCUAAUGCAGGAUAACAUGUUGAACCGCAUGGUUCUACAGUGAAAGGCGGCUUUGCUGUCACUUAUAGAUGGACCCGCGCCGUAUUAGCUAGUUGGUGAGGUAACGGCUCACCAAGGCCACGAUACGUAGCCGACCUGAGAGGGUGAUCGGCCACACUGGAACUGAGACACGGUCCAGACGCCUACGGGAGGCAGCAGUAGGGAAUCUUCCGCAAUGGGCGAAAGCCUGACGGAGCAACGCCGCGUGAGUGAUGAAGGUCUUCGGAUCGUAAAACUCUGUUAUUAGGGAAGAACAAAUGCGUAAGUAACUGUGCGCGUCUUGACGGUACCUAAUCAGAAAGCCACGGCUAACUACGUG
rnacentral:rRNA from 1 species